UUUUUGGUGUUAUUCUGUUUCUGUUGCAAGACUACAUUUGGGUGUGUGUGAGGAAGAUAUCUUUUAGUUUAAUAUCUUAGUUCAUUUUCUGUUGUUUGUAACAGAAUACCUGACACUGGGUUAUUUAUUUAAUAAGAAAGGUAUUUCUUACAGGUGUGGAGUCUAAGAAGUCCAAGGUUGAGGAGCUGCAUCUGAUGAGAGCCUUCUUGCUGGUUGGGAUCCUCUGCAGAGUCUUGAGUUGGGCAUUAAAAACUGUAUCACAGACACAUGAAUAUUGUGUGAGUAUUUCAAAGUAAAUUUGGAUUAAAAUUCAUCAAAUUCAUGACAUACAUGGAGUUCCCUGAAGCAUUAUUUCAUAUUUCCGGAUUUUCAAAGUGACUACAUAUUCAAGCAUGUAUAUAUACAAGCAUAGGCCUCAUCUCCAAGUAUUACCACACUGAGGGUCAAGACUUCAACAUAUGGUGGAGAGCAGGAGAAGUCCGAAGAACUAAGUUCAAAACUUUUGAAAAUGUAGAGUUCUCAAGAGUUUGAGAGAGCCUUACUGGGAGAAUGCAGCCGGGCUGGGCAGAAUGCAGCCGGGCUGGGCAGAAUGCAAUCCCCAGCAAACUUGUGGUGCUGACAUAAAGAAGCGUCUCAAAAUGCUCAACUCAAACCUCUGAAGCAUGGAAGGAAACCUAUCAAGCUCUCUGUCAAAACUCCAUAAAGAUCCAGAAUAAAUAAAGAAUGCUUACAAUUCAACAAUGUAAAGACAAAUAACAAAUAAGUGGGCGAAUGAUUUCAAUAGACUUUUCCCAAAAAAAGUUGCAUGACAAAGAAUAAGCUCGUGAAAGGGUGCUCAACAUUGUUAAUCAUUAGGGAGACGCAAUGCAAAAACAGAAAGAUGGAUGGAAACUUUUCACCCACUAAAAUGCAUGCAACAAAAAAGACAGAUAACAGGUAUAAUGAUGUAGAAAAACUGGAACCUUAUGUUACUGGUGGGAAUGUAAAGUGGUACAGAGGCUUUGGAAAAUAAUCUGGCAGUUCCUCAAAUGAUAUAACAUAGAAGACAGCAAUUCUACACCUAGAUAUGUACCCAAGAAAAAUGAAAACAUUUCUAAACAAAGAUGCGUACGUGGAUAUUGAUAGCUACAUUAUUCCUUAUGGCCCAAAGUGGCAACAAUCUAAAUGCCCAUCAACUGAUGAAUGAAUAAAGAAAAUGUGUUAUAUCUAUACAAUGGAAUAUAAAGAAAUGAAGUACUGUUCCAUGCUACUACACAGAUGAUCCCUGAAAACAUUAUGUAAAAUAAAAGCCAGU
rnacentral:lncRNA from 1 species